UUUAUUUGUUUUUACAAAUUUUUGGCAACUAAUUCCCAAUUUUCCCCGCCUAAACAACUAUUUCUGCCAAACAACGGCAGUUGUAAAGCAAAAGAAAAAGACAACUCCUUAAUUUUCUUCAUUGCCCUAUGCCUCUUCCUUCUUUCUUAGAGUGAAUAACGCAUCGCCCUUUACACUGCUUUCUUCCCAACCGACAUCCAUCGCUACCAUUGCUGAAGACAUUAUUACUGAAAGUAUAAUGAAACAUCAUCGACCGUAUCCGACUGUCCCUAAUACUGCUUACCUAGAAGGGCUCAACAACCCUUAUGUAAAGACGCCAUUAUAAAGCAUCCUCAUAAGGUAUCCAUACUUUUUUACCUUCCCCCCCCCCCCCCCCCCUCCACAUAAUUUGUAAUUAUAGGUUACUUCUUUUAUCAAUUUCUUCUACUUUGGGCACAAAUUGGUGUACUAAGUUAUUUUAGAUCCAUAGAAUUUUUUUAAUGAAUGUGUUCUAUUUCUGAAUUAGUUGAACUUCUUAAACCCCUCUCUCAAUCAUAUAUCUAUUAACCUACUUACUGAGGCUGGUAAAUUCCUAAGUGCAAGGAAUUAGCCUGCUCCGUUCAACCCAGAAGGUUAUUUUGACAUUGCCAAAACAUACACCUAAGUCAAAUUCAUCUUGGGGUAAGUUUGACUUAUUGAUUUCAAAUUUUCUGUAGGUUUAGUGACAUAUAUAUUGCCUAAAAACUUCUAUUAUAUGGUCUUACUACACUGGCUGAUUUUUCUUUUUCCUAUUUUGUUCUUUGUGGAUAUUGAUUUAAUAAAUAUGCAUUAAAUAGGAUUUUGGAAAGAUGAUUAGCAUCGGAGAUUACUAACCAGCCAGUCUCUAUGGAGUGUAGGCGAUUCAUCACGUUUGCAUAAACCUGAUUUCACUCUGCUUUCGGUUUCAUUUAUGUGUUUUGUCAACUUUCUGAUUCAUUAUGUCACUGUUUUAUUAUCUUGGUGUUUGCUCACUAUUUCCUUUGUUUGGUUAUGUUCCUUUUUAAAGGAAAUGGUUUCUAUUUUCUGUUUUUCCUUUGGUUCAUUCUCUGUUUCCUGAUGUUUGUGUAAUUUUCGUUAUAAAAAUAUGUAUUUUGAUGCUAAUUACUUGGAUGAUUAAAUUGAUGUCGUUAGUUAUUAAGUGCAUUAGUUUUUCUUCAGUAUUCUUUCUGUAUUUGAAGAAGCUUGCAUUUUUUCUAUUUGUAAAAUUAUUUUUGUGAAUUGAUAUUCUAUAUAUACUGAAGAAGGUUUUGCUUUGGUUUUCUAUGCAAUUCAAAAAGAGAGGUUUUUGGAUAAUUUUCCAACAUGGAACAUGCCCAAGAAACAUCUAGAUAUCACCAACCUCAAAUUCUUUCAGCUAGGAAAGGGAAGAAAAUAAAGAGGAAAGUUCAGAAGAAGUUUCCCAAAUGCCAAGUAAUGAGGAACUAAUAGAAAAGUGUCAAUUGGAACUGAAAUUCUUAAUUUGGAUCAAGCAUAUAAGGAUCAAUGUCAUGAAGCAUCCUUCAUAUAUACAUGAAGAACUUUUCACACAAGUUCUGGUCAUUUCCAUGAAGUUGAAGUUCAUGACUUAACUUCUCUAUAUACCCACAGCAAGUAAUGCCUGCAGCGGUCAAUCCUACGAGUCCCUUUUCCAGAGAACCUCACUUGGUUUUUUGCCAAAAUUUCAUCUUGAUUUCAAUGUGUGCAUAUGUGAAGGUAAGUCCAUAACUUCAUGUUUUCUCUUGGACAACCUAAUAUGAUUAUAACACCUUUAACGUUUGUAAUCAACUUUGGUCUUUUGCUUGCUUUCGGUUUUAACUUUCUCAGCUUUCGAGUGACUCAAAUUUAAAAGAAAGGUUUAAACCAUAAAUCUAUAUAUAAGUAUAUAAAGUUAGGAAUAGAAAAGGUGACGUGGCACCUUCCUAUGCCCAGCAAUUGCAUCUAUCUCUUUUCUCCUUUUUGGGGCAAUUUUCACUUCCCCCCCUCUCUUUGUUUUUUGCCUAUUUCUUUCAUUUAUUAUUUGUGUGUGUUGCAUAAGGAAAAACUCAACUCUCGCUUUUAAUUUUUACCAUCAAGUCACCAACAGUCGCUUCCUCAUUUUCCUUCUAUUCUUCAUUCUCUCGUUGACCACCGAUUAUGGUGUCUAUUGAUGGGAACAAAGCGCCUCCAUCUCUUCUCCUUAUUUUUCCUUCUGUCAUUGGUUUGUAUUUCCUGCAAAUUUUUCUCCCACUAAAGUGAUUAACAGAUUGCUAUUUGCUUAUCAUCGACCACUUGAUGAUUAUUCAACCCAUUUUAUGCAUUUUGAAGUGCUGAUUUUUAGUUAAUCAACCCAUAUUAUUUUUUCCAGUUUAUCACUCCGAGGACUCUAUUACAAACGUACUACUACUGAUAUCAGUAGUUACAGGUACAAUAUUCUUGCCUGUGAUUACGUAAUUUAAUUUUUCUGCGGAUUUUGUGUGUUUGUUAAUUUUCUCUUACCUUGUUCCUUUGUCAGGAGAUCCAAAAGGGAUUCCUUUGAGUCACAUGACUUCCAUCUAUGAAAUUCUUUUGAUAAGACCAUUAUAAUUGGACAAAUUAGGAGACUAUACAAGUUUGAGAUUAUUUUUCUUUUGCCCUUUCAUCUAAUAGGUAUUCUUGUGAAAUAAUUCUCAUGAGAAGUGUUAUUUUUGUAGUCCAUGAUAUAUAGUAAAUGGUUAAGUUCAAGUAGUUGAAUUCCUAUGACAUCUCCAGUAAAAAAAAUUAUAUCGUGUAGUUUACCUUUUAUGUAUUCAUUUGUCUAUCUCAUGGGGACAUGGAGAUGCUAUACUCAA